AUUGAACACUGGCGGCAUGCCUUACACAUGCAAGUCGAACGGUAACGCGGGGCAACCUGGCGACGAGUGGCGAACGGGUGAGUAAUGUAUCGGAACGUGCCCAGUUGUGGGGGAUAACUGCUCGAAAGAGCAGCUAAUACCGCAUACGACCUGAGGGUGAAAGCGGGGGAUCGCAAGACCUCGUGCAAUUGGAGCGGCCGAUAUCAGAUUAGGUAGUUGGUGGGGUAAAGGCUCACCAAGCCGACGAUCUGUAGCUGGUCUGAGAGGACGACCAGCCACACUGGGACUGAGACACGGCCCAGACUCCUACGGGAGGCAGCAGUGGGGAAUUUUGGACAAUGGACGCAAGUCUGAUCCAGCCAUGCCGCGUGCGGGAAGAAGGCCUUCGGGUUGUAAACCGCUUUUGUCAGGGAAGAAAAGGCUCCUUCUAAUAUAGGGGGCUCAUGACGGUACCUGAAGAAUAAGCACCGGCUAACUACGUGCCAGCCGCCGCCGUAA
rnacentral:rRNA from 1 species